CAACCUGCCGAUGACUCGGGGAUAGCCUUUCGAAAGAAAGGUUAAUACCCGAUGGCAUAGUUCUUCCGCAUGGUAGAACUAUUAAAGAAUUUCGGUCACCGAUGGGGAUGCGUUCCAUUAGGUUGUUGGCGGGGUAACGGCCCACCAAGCCUUCGAUGGAUAGGGGUUCUGAGAGGAAGGUCCCCCACAUUGGAACUGAGACACGGUCCAAACUCCUACGGGAGGCAGCAGUGAGGAAUAUUGGUCAAUGGACGAGAGUCUGAACCAGCCAAGUAGCGUGAAGGAUGACUGCCCUAUGGGUUGUAAACUUCUUUUAUACGGGAAUAAAGUGAGGCACGUGUGCCUUUUUGUAUGUACCGUAUGAAUAAGGAUCGGCUAACUCCGUGCCAGCAGCCGCGGUAAUACGGAGGAUCCGAGCGUUAUCCGGAUUUAUUGGGUUUAAAGGGAGCGUAGGCGGACGCUUAAGUCAGUUGUGAAAGUUUGCGGCUCAACCGUAAAAUUGCAGUUGAUACUGGGUGUCUUGAGUACAGUAGAGGCAGGCGGAAUUCGUGGUGUAGCGGUGAAAUGCUUAGAUAUCACGAAGAACUCCGAUUG
rnacentral:rRNA from 1 species